UGCGCAGGCGGCCUGAUAAGUCAGGGGUGAAAUAUGACGGCUUAACCGUCAAACGGCCCCUGAAACUGCCAGGCUUGAGUCCGGGAGAGGAUGGUGGAAUUCCUGGUGUAGCGGUGAAAUGCGUAAAUAUCAGGAGGAACACCAAUGGCGAAGGCAGCCAUCUGGCCCGGUACUGACGCUCAGGCACGAAAGCUAGGGGAGCGAACAGGAUUAGAUACCCUGGUAGUCC
rnacentral:rRNA from 1 species